rnacentral:rRNA from 1 species
CCUACGGGGGGCAGCAGUGGGGGAUAUUGGACAAUGGGGGGAACCCUGAUCCAGCGACGCCGCGUGAGUGAAGAAGUAUUUCGGUAUGUAACGCUCUGUCAGCAGUGAAGAAAGAAAUGACGGUACCUGACCAAGAAGCCCCGGCUAACUACGUGCCAGCAGCCGCGGUAAUACGUAGGGGGCAAGCGUUAUCCGGAAUUACUGGGUGUAAAGGGAGCGUAGACGGUUAAGUAAGUCUGGAGUGAAAGGCCGGGGCACAACCCCGGGACUGCUCUGGAAACUAUUGAACUUGAGUGCAGGAGAGGUAAGCGGAAUUCCUAGUGUAGCGGUGAAAUGCGUAGAUAUUAGGAGGAACACCAGUGGCGAAGGCGGCUUACUGGACUGUAACUGACGUUGAGGCUCGAAAGCGUGGGGAGCAAACAGGAUUAGAUACCCUUGUAGUC